rfam:Fistulifera solaris DNA, contig: scaffold00016, strain: JPCC DA0580.
GCACCCAUAGCUCAGUGGAAGAGCGGUUGCCUUACACGCAAUAGGUCGUGUGUUCGAACCACACUGGGUGUA